rnacentral:sRNA from 1 species
UUUUCAUAAUACUGGAGAUGGAUGAGGAGCCAAAGGACCCAUUAAUCCUAAGAAGACGAUUACUGGCAACUGCAAGAGCUAUUAUCGAUGUCAAAAAGGGAAAGAUCGACCUAAACCUCGGAAAGGAGAUGAAGAUGACCUUCGAUAUCAACAAAGCUAUGAAGAAACCA